UACGUAGGGUGCGAGCGUUAAUCGGAAUUACUGGGCGUAAAGCGUGCGCAGGCGGUUUUGUAAGACAGAGGUGAAAUCCCCGGGCUCAACCUGGGAACUGCCUUUGUGACUGCAAGGCUAGAGUACGGCAGAGGGGGAUGGAAUUCCGCGUGUAGCAGUGAAAUGCGUAGAUAUGCGGAGGAACACCGAUGGCGAAGGCAAUCCCCUGGGCCUGUACUGACGCUCAUGCACGAAAGCGUGGGAGCAAACAGG
rnacentral:rRNA from 1 species